UUUUCCUACGGGGCGCAGCAGUGAGGAAUAUUGGUCAAUGGGCUAAGGCCUGAACCAGCCAAGUCGCGUGAGGGAAGACGGUCCUAUGGAUUGUAAACCUCUUUUGUCGGGGAGCAACGAGGCCACGUGUGGCCGAAGUGAGAGUACCCGAAGAAAAAGCAUCGGCUAACUCCGUGCCAGCAGCCGCGGUAAUACGGAGGAUGCGAGCGUUAUCCGGAUUUACUGGGUGUAAAGGGAGCGUAGACGGCAGUGCAAGUCUGGAGUGAAAGGCGGGGGCUCAACCCCCGGACUGCUCUGGAAACUGG
rnacentral:rRNA from 1 species